ACCGUAUAGUCUAGUGGACAAGACAUCCGGUAAGAGGUUGGAAGACGCAGGUUCGAUUCCUGCUGCGAGUG
rnacentral:tRNA from 1 species